rnacentral:rRNA from 1 species
GUCGACGAUAAUCAGGAGCUUGCUUCUGUGAUUAGUGGCGAACGGGUGAGUAACACGUGAGUAACCUGCCCCUGACUCUGGGAUAAGCGUUGGAAACGACGUCUAAUACUGGAUACGACUGCCGGCCGCAUGGUCUGGUGGUGGAAAGAUUUUUUGGUUGGGGAUGGACUCGCGGCCUAUCAGCUUGUUGGUGAGGUAAUGGCUCACCAAGGCGACGACGGGUAGCCGGCCUGAGAGGGUGACCGGCCACACUGGGACUGAGACACGGCCCAGACUCCUACGGGAGGCAGCAGUGGGGAAUAUUGCACAAUGGGCGAAAGCCUGAUGCAGCAACGCCGCGUGAGGGAUGACGGCCUUCGGGUUGUAAACCUCUUUUAGUAGGGAAGAAGCGAAAGUGACGGUACCUGCAGAAAAAGCACCGGCUAACUACGUGCCAGCAGCCGCGGUAAUACGUAGGGUGCAAGCGUUGUCCGGAAUUAUUGGGCGUAAAGAGCUCGUAGGCGG